rnacentral:rRNA from 1 species
UGAAACACGGACCAAGGAGUCUAACAUAUGCGCGAGCUAAUGGGUGGAAAACCCAAAGGCGCAAUAAAAGUAAAGGCUGUUUCGGACAGCUAAGGUACGAUCCCGGGAUCCGAGCGAUCUCGGGCGCAGUACCGUCCCAUCCCGACCGCAUAUCGGUAGGGUGGAGAUAGAGUGCAUACGUUGGGACCCGAAAGAUGGUGAACUAUGCCUGAGCAGAGCGAAGCCAGAGGAAACUCUGGUGGAGGUUCGUAGCGGUUCUGACGUGCAAAUCGAUCGUCAGACUUGGGUAUAGGGGCGAAAGACUAAUCGAACCAUCUAGUAGCUGGUUCCCCCUGAAGUUUCCCUCAGGAUAGCUGAUACUCGUUAAAAAACGAAGUUUUAUCCGGUAAAGCGAAUGAUUAGAGGCAUUGGGGACGAAAUGACCUCAACCUAUUCUCAAACUUUAAAUGGGUAAGAAGUCGAGCUUGCUCGAUCGAAGCUCGACAUAAGAAUUCGAGUAUCAGUGGGCCAUUUUUGGUAAGCA